ensembl:processed_transcript
GAGCGGGCACCUGGCGCUCCCGCGCUGCGGCGCGCAGAGCUAGCUGCGGGGCUGGGGAAUCCGCGGCCACCGCCUCUAAUCCGCCCUUAAGUAGUCUCCGCCUGCGUCACGCCAGGUCGGCGGAGGGGAGCAGAGCGCGGCGUGCCGCUGUCGCCGAGCGUCGGAGCCCGAGGGGCCGCGGCCGCGCGCCGCGGGGGGAGGAGAUGGUCUGGAGUCCCCCCGCUGCGCCGGGGAUGGGGAGACGGAGGACUGCAGCGCCCCUUGGGGCUUCUGAGGCGCCCAGGUAACCUCACCUGGCCGCCAGUCUCCCGCAGGAGGAACAGACACGUUGGUUCCACACCGAACCUAUUAACAGCUCAACUUCAAAUAUUUGAGGUGGGAUUGCUGUUCACUAAGGUUAUAUGAGCCAGCUUGGUUACUCAAAUGUGAAAAUGCAUAUUUUCCAAUCCUGGAGUGACUGCUCCCUGAAGAGAGUCCUGGUCCUAGGAAUCUGGGAUUCUACCUGAAGUCCCAAAGAUGAACAAAUGGUAGAGAGAGGCACCUGAGUGAGCCUGCUUCCUAAACGACUUCUCAGAACUGCCUGCAGCUGGGCUGCCUAACAGAAGCUCAAGUUCUGGGAUUCCACUCUUGAAGAAAAAUGAAUCUGCCCUUAACUUAGUGAGCCCUCAGCCUGUAGGUCAGGACAUGUAGUUCUUGCUACCCUGAAACUCACUAUGUACGACAGACUGGCCCCAACACACUGAGAUCUGCCUGGUUCUGUCUCCCUGGUGCUGAGAUCAAAUGCACGCGUAUACUUAGGGUACAGGACUUUUAUUUAUAUGUUAUGGCUCUGGGUUUGUUUUCAUGGGAUUCCUGAUUGUGCCAGCAAUUGGGUCUCUGUGUCUACAUCUGUUUCUUUUGCCUUUUCUUUGACUCCCUUUCUUUUGUUUGUUUCUUUUGCCCUAUUCUGAUGUGUUAGUUUUUGUUUUAUCUUAUUAUAUUUUAUUAUUAUUCAUCAAGUGCCCUUCUGUUUUCUAAAGAGAAACAGAAAGGUGGUGAAUUUGCAUGGGGUGGGAGGCAUAGAAGAACUGGGAGGAGUAAAGGGAGAAGAGAUCAUAAUCAGGAUAUAUUGUAUGAAAAAAACCAGACUAUUUUCAAUAAAACUACAACAAAAAAUGAAGAACGAAAAUAACCAGUCUAUCUUAUCUUCCCAACAUUUGUUUACUUGCUUAGAGGAAGACUAAUCUUGAACUUAUGGCUCUCUCUGCCUAAGCGUCAUGAGUGUGAGUAGCGUGGAAUUGCACCAUGAGGAAGAUACUGUGGUGGGAUAGAACAGAUUGUGACAGAAAACUAAAAAUUCUCAACCAGAAGAAUUAGAAAGUAAGCAAGCAAGGAGGGAGGGAAGGAAGGAAGGAAGGAAGGAAGGAAGGAAG